GAGCUGUGAUGAAUCUUGUGCCUCUUGUGAUAUUAGGGUUUAUCACUUAUGUCUAAUUCUUGGGAUGAAAUUGGCUACAUCUGAGCUC
rnacentral:snoRNA from 1 species